rnacentral:pre_miRNA from 1 species
AGGGGAAUAGCUGGGUCACAUGGUAAUUCCAUUCCCAGCUUUCCAAGGAGUCUCCAUACUGCUUUCCAAAUUGGCUGCACUAAUUUUCAGUCCCACCAGCAAU